rnacentral:tRNA from 1 species
GCGGGCGUAGUCCAGUCCGGUCUAAGACGCCUUCCUGUCACGAAGGAGAUCAGGGGUUCAAAUCCCCUCGCCCGCG